rnacentral:rRNA from 1 species
UACGUAGGGUGCAAGCGUUAAUCGGAAUUACUGGGCGUAAAGCGUGCGCAGGCGGUGAUGUAAGACAGUUGUGAAAUCCCCGGGCUCAACCUGGGAACUGCAUCUGUGACUGCAUCGCUGGAGUACGGUAGAGGGGGAUGGAAUUCCGCGUGUAGCAGUGAGAUGCGUAGAUAUGCGGAGGAACACCGAUGGCGAAGGCAAUCCCCUGGACCUGUACUGACGCUCAUGCACGAAAGCGUGGGGAUCAAACAGG